GAUUCAAAUUAAGACUUCCUGAGAUAGCUUACUUCCGUUCUUUUAAUGCACAUUGAGCUUGGUGUAGUAGCUUGUCAAUUUAUCGUCACAGAUCACUUUGAAUUUUUCUACCUAUCUCACUAUAAGAAAAUGGUGAGAAAUUACCAGAGAAAAACGCAAGGCUUGUAUGGACAACAAAACUUGACAGAAGCUUUAAAAGCUAUCGCUGAUGGGAUGCCACUUAAAAAUGUCUCCGAAAAAAAUACAUUUAUAAUUAUUAAAUAUUUCACUUAUACUUU
rnacentral:sRNA from 1 species